rnacentral:sRNA from 1 species
GCUAGGCAUGGUGGUGCAUGCCUGUAAUUCCAGUGGCUCAGGAGGCCGAGGUGGGAGAAUCACAAGUUCAAAGCCAGCCUCAGCACUGGCAAGGCACUAAGCAACUUAGUAAGCAACUCAGUGAGACCCUGUCUCUA